CCACCACUAAGCCAGUGGUGAACUCCACAUACGCAUCCUUUGCUGAGGAUACGGUUAACGGAGCGAAAGCGACGUUCAACCGCAAAAGAAGCAGAGGGGGCUUAGUGGUGGGGUGACUGCGUACCUUUUGUAUAAUGGGUCAGCGACUUAUAUUCUGUAGCAAGGUUAACCGAAUAGGGGAGCCGGAGGGAAACCGAGUCUUAAUUGGGCGUUAAGUUGCAGGGUAUAGACCCGAAACCCGGUGAUCUAGCCAUGGGCAGGUUGAAGGUUGGGUAACACUAACUGGAGGACCGAACCGACUAAUGUUGAAAAAUUAGCGGAUGACCUGUGGCUGGGGGUGAAAGGCCAAUCAAACCGGGAGAUAGCUGGUUCUCCCCGAAAGCUAUUUAGGUAGCGCCUCGUGAAUUCAUCUCCGGGGGUAGAGCACUGUUUCGGCUAGGGGGCCAUCCCGGCUUACCAACCCGAUGCAAACUGCGAAUACCGGAGAAUGUUAUCACGGGAGACACACGGCGGGUGCUAACGUCCGUCGUGAAGAGGGAAACAACCCAGACCGCCAGCUAAGGUCCCAAAGUCAUGGUUAAGUGGGAAACGAUGUGGGAAGGCCCAGACAGCCAGGAUGUUGGCUUAGAAGCAGCCAUCAUUUAAAGAAAGCGUAAUAGCUCACUGGUCGAGUCGGCCUGCGCGGAAGAUGUAACGGGGCUAAACCAUGCACCGAAGCUGCGGCAGCGAACGUAUCACCCAAGACAACUUUACGGAGUUGACGAUUGACGGAGCGAAGCGACGUCAAAGCGUUCAUUAAAGUCGAGUUGGCUUAGGGAUACGUUCGUUGGGUAGGGGAGCGUUCUGUAAGCCUGUGAAGGUGUGUCGUGAGGCAUGCUGGAGGUAUCAGAAGUGCGAAUGCUGACAUAAGUAACGAUAAAGCGGGUGAAAAGCCCGCUCGCCGGAAGACCAAGGGUUCCUGUCCAACGUUAAUCGGGGCAGGGUGAGUCGACCCCUAAGGCGAGGCCGAAAGGCGUAGUCGAUGGGAAACGGGUUAAUAUUCCCGUACUUGGUGUUACUGCGAAGGGGGGACGGAGAAGGCUAUGUUGGCCGGGCGACGGUUGUCCCGGUUUAAGCGUGUAGGUGUGUGUUCCAGGUAAAUCCGGUUCACUUUAACACUGAGGCGUGACGACGAGGCACUACGGUGCUGAAGCAACAAAUGCCCUGCUUCCAGGAAAAGCCUCUAAGCAUCAGGUAACAUCAAAUCGUACCCCAAACCGACACAGGUGGUCAGGUAGAGAAUACCAAGGCGCUUGAGAGAACUCGGGUGAAGGAACUAGGCAAAAUGGUGCCGUAACUUCGGGAGAAGGCACGCUGACAC
rnacentral:rRNA from 2 species